rnacentral:rRNA from 1 species
AGUGAACGCUGGCGGUAGGCCUAACACAUGCAAGUCGAACGGCAGCACAGUAAGAGCUUGCUCUUACGGGUGGCGAGUGGCGGACGGGUGAGGAAUACAUCGGAAUCUACUUUUUCGUGGGGGAUAACGUAGGGAAACUUACGCUAAUACCGCAUACGACCUACGGGUGAAAGCAGGGGAUCUUCGGACCUUGCGCGAUUGAAUGAGCCGAUGUCGGAUUAGCUAGUUGGCGGGGUAAAGGCCCACCAAGGCGACGAUCCGUAGCUGGUCUGAGAGGAUGAUCAGCCACACUGGAACUGAGACACGGUCCAGACUCCUACGGGAAGCAGCAGUGGGGAAUAUUGGACAAUGGGCGCAAGCCUGAUCCAGCCAUACCGCGUGGGUGAAGAAGGCCUUCGGGUUGUAAAGCCCUUUUGUCGGGAAAGAAAAGCAGCAGGUUAAUACCCCGCUGUUCUGACGGUACCCAAAGAAUAAGCACCGGCUAACUUCGUG